GUGCUUGCUUUGGCUGGACAUAAGCUAAAAUUGGAACGAUACAGUAAUUAGCGCAGCCCCUGCACAAGUAUGACAAGCGAACAUUAAAAAAAACCAAAAACCCU
rnacentral:snRNA from 1 species